GAUGAACGCUGGCGGCGUGCCUAAUACAUGCAAGUCGAGCGAACGGACGAGAAGCUUGCUUCUCUGAUGUUAGCGGCGGACGGGUGAGUAACACGUGGAUAACCUACCUAUAAGACUGGGAUAACUUCGGGAAACCGGAGCUAAUACCGGAUGAUAUUUUGAACCGCAUGGUUCAAAAGUGAAAGACGGUCUUGCUGUCACUUAUAGAUGGAUCCGCGCUGCAUUAGCUAGUUGGUAAGGUAACGGCUUACCAAGGCAACGAUGCAUAGCCGACCUGAGAGGGUGAUCGGCCACACGGGAAGUGAGACACGGUCCAGACUCCUACGGGAGGCAGCAGUAGGGAAUCUUCCGCAAUGGGCGAAAGCCUGACGGAGCAAAGCCGCGUGAGUGAUGAAGGUCUUCGGAUCGUAAAACUCUGUUAUUAGGGAAGAACAUAUGUGUAAGUAACUGUGCACAUCUUGACGGUACCUAAUCAGAAAGCCACGGCUAACUACGUG
rnacentral:rRNA from 1 species